AAGCCCGCUUGCGGCGCGUAAGCGCUGAUGACGUUGAGGACGCAACCCCAAUAACCAACUUAAUAGACAUUAACAUAUCAUUCACUCGCCUAACCUCUUCCACGGACUCCCUUAGAUCCCUAUCUACCAAGAUGCCCACUCCAUUCUUACCUCUCACGACCCCAGAAUACCACAGCUUAAACCUGUCUGCGUUCCUCACCUUCGACCCUUUCCACCUA
rnacentral:lncRNA from 1 species